GACGUAGGGCGCGAGCGUUGUCCGGAUUUAUUGGGCGUAAAGAGCUCGUAGGCGGCUUGUCGCGUCGACUGUGAAAUCCCGCGGCUCAACUGCGGGUCUGCAGCCGAUACGGGCAGGCUAGAGUUCGGUAGGGGAGACUGGAAUUCCUGGUGUAGCGGUGAAAUGCGCAGAUAUCAGGAGGAACACCGGUGGCGAAGGCGGGGUCUCUGGGCCGAUACUGACGCUGAGACGCGAAAGCGUGGGGGAGCGAACCGG
rnacentral:rRNA from 1 species